UACGUAGGGUGCGAGCGUUAAUCGGAAUUACUGGGCGUAAAGCGUGCGCAGGCGGUUCUGAAAGUCAGCUGUGAAAGCCCCGGGCUUAACCUGGGAAUGGCGGUUGAAACUACAGGACUAGAAUCUGGCAGAGGGGGGUGGAAUUCCACGUGUAGCAGUGAAAUGCGUAGAGAUGUGGAGGAACACCGAUGGCGAAGGCAGCCCCCUGGGCUGAGAUUGACGCUCAGGCACGAAAGCGCGGGGAGCAAACAGG
rnacentral:rRNA from 1 species